UCUGGUGACUAUGGCGAAGGGGUCCCACCUGUUCUCAUUCCGAACACAGAAGUUAAGCCCUUCAGCGCCGAUGAUACUUAGCGGGCAGCCGCUUGGGAAAGUAGGUCGUUGCCAGAU
rnacentral:rRNA from 1 species